rnacentral:rRNA from 1 species
CUAGCGACUUCAGAGUUUGAUCCUGGCUCAGGAUGAACGCUGGCGGCGUGCAUAACACAUUCAAGUCGAACGGUGACGGGACUUCGGUCCCCGAACAGUGGCGGACGGGUGAGUAACGCGUGAGCAAUCUGCCUGGCAUAGAGGGAUAACACAGGGAAACUUGUGCUAAUACCACAUGACGUAUACGGAUCGCAUGUUCUGUAUACCAAAGGGAAACCGAUGUCAGAUGAGCUCGCGUUGGAUUAGACAGUUGGCAGGGUAACGGCCUACCAAAUCUACGAUCCAUAGCCGAACUAAGAGGUUAAACGGCCACAUUGGAACUGAGAAACGGUCCAG